GCCACUCUUGAAAUCCUAGUCGGUAUAAAUCUUCAUAUGUUUUCCUCUAUAUUGAGAGAAAAUACACUACACAAAAUUUUGAUAUAAGUAGAACAAAUGUGAGCAGAUUCAAGGGAAAUCACAUGGCCAUGCACGUAGAAAAGGAAAAGAUGGAGAAAUUUAAAGAAAUCCCAUCUGAAAUUGUGUCUCAAGUUUUAACUUAUCUACCCAUUAAGGCUUUGAACAGAUUUAAGUGUGUAUCUACUUCUUGGUUUUUAAUAAUUUUCCAGCAUAGGCCUUACGGCCGCAUACCGGUCAAUAUUUCAUCGAAUUCGGUGAAAAACGCCUCUUUUUCGCAUCGAUUCGUGUAGGAAUGUUGCAGCACGAGAAAAUUCAAGAUUUAGAGCCGGAAACAUUUGUUCGUCAAUUAAGUUUGCCCUAUUUGGUUUACUAAAACAUUACUCCAGUGGUAAACGGACUGCUUGUCUUUGCACGGACCAUCAAAUCACUUUUUAAUAUUUCUAGGUGUAAUAUUAUGAACCUUUCCUCGUCAAGUUUAAAUCUUGAAUCAGCUCGUAAAAUUUGGUAUGCACUUGAUUUUGAUCCUAUAGACAAUGUGUAUAAAUUGCUUAAAGUAUCUUCCAUUCAUACACCAAAAGUAACCAAGUUUUCCGAUUGGUACAAUAGUUGCGACGAUGAUCAUCAAACUUCUUUAUGGAAUAAAAUCACUAUUCAUCAAAAAUACUUUGAUGAAGCAACACCUAUUGGGAAUUUUCCUAGUGGUGAGUUGUUACUUGUUUGCUUUGAACGUCAGAAGAUGGAGGGCACAUUUUUUACUUAUGAUGCAAUAACGAAAAAAUUACCAAAUUGAAGAUUGAGCUACCUAGAUCACUGGCGUUGGCACGUCGAAGGGCAUAUCCUGCUCAUAUGUCUUGUCUUUUCGACGAUUUGUCAAAUGAUGCUCCACUUGAUAAUUUAUUUGGAAAUUAGAAACAAAUGACUAGCAGUGAUUACGAGAUAUUAAAGUUUGAUGAGUUCAAUCUUUACUGUUUUUGUUACUCAAUUUGUUUUGGAACGACUACUUUUGGAAUUAUUGAUUCAAAUUAAAUAUUUUCACAUACAUAUUUAUAUAUAGUCAAAAUCGAGCUUGCCCUUCAUAUGACUAAUCGAGACUAGAACAUGAUAGAUCAAGGUUCAACCUCAUAUAAUAUUAAGUUGUGAUGCGAAGUUAGGUUGCCGAGAUCGUGACCCAGAAACCGACCAAGAUCAAAAUCGGUCAAGAUUGAGGCCGAGAAAAAUAGAGACCGAUCGAUAUCAUGAUCAUCCAAGAUUGAGACCGAGCAAAAUAGAGGCCGAUCGAGAUCAUGAUCGGCCAAGAUCGAGAUCGAGCCAAAAAAUAAAAAGCCGGUAUAUCCGCAAUUAGGGCGAGAAUCUCGGCGAGAAUCCCGACGCAUAUCAAGGAGAGGCAAAUUAAUUAAUCUAUCAUGAAAUUCCUUAUGUAUUUAGAAUUAUAAACAAAGUAGGACUUCCCCACUAUAUAAAGGGGAUUUUGAUCAUUUCUAGAGCACAUUCGGAGGCAAUAAAAACAACACAUUACCUUCUUUGAAAGCUGGAUUAUCUUGUUACUUUGUUCUUACAUUAGCAGAAUCCUUACUUGUUUUGA